UUUUUUUUGUCUCUUAUAAAAUAGGGUGAUUUGCAGAUAUAGCAUUUUUUUACUAAAUAAUUAACUAACUAACACCAUAAAUUUGUAAAUGUAAUAAAUAACCUUCAAGGGGUGUGAAAAGACAUCACUGUCCUGAUGUUACGUUUGUCAGCGAGGAAGGAAAAUGUUUAGUGUGAGGUGACGUGGCUUUAUUAUUAGUGUUGAGGUGAGAAAAGAAAUCAGGUGGUAGGAGAGAAGUUCCUUUUUCUCUUUCUUUUUUCUUUACCCCUUCCCAAUUAUAAUUCAUAUUAUCUAAUCUUUAAAAAAUUAAUUCAAGUUCAUGAUAUAUCAAUUAAAAGUUGUAUAGUUUUCUACAUAUAUCAUGACUUAAAUUUUUUAAAACAGACACAAAAUAAUUUAGAUGUGAAUAGUGUUGUCAAUGAAUAACAUAACGUUCUAUAUAGAUACACAAUAUUUUUUUAUGGAAAGAUAUUAAACCCUAAGGGAUAAUAUAUAGGGAACCCAAGGGUUUAAAUCUAAACCAAUAAUUAAAUCACUUAACAUCCUUAAUCAAAACAAAUAAUUCAUUUUAAAACGUAUAUAAAACAAAGUAUACGUAAAUAGUAUAUUUACAAAUAGAAUAGUAUCUCUCAAAUUGCAACAACAAAACUCAAUUUCAUCACCAAGACACCAAGCGCAACAACGAAAGUCGAUUCCCUGAAUCCAAAUUGUGUUCCUCCCUCUGUAAUUCGAAACCCCCAAAUCAAAUCUCACCCAAAAGUAAUUAAGAGACUCUGAUUUGAAAACAAAAACAAGUAACAAUGUAGGUGUAAGGACUUUACUGGGGAGAAAGAGAGAGGGGGAGGGAAAAAGAAAGAGAGAGAAAGAGAGAGGGGGAGAGAGAGAAAGAGAGAAAGGAGAGAGAACGGAAGAUAGAGGUACACAUAAAGAAAGAUGAGAGAAAUAGAUAGAGGGGUAAACUUGGAAUUAAUAUACAAAAUAUAGAGGAUAUCAUUUUUUUUUUUUUGAUGUUAGUUCCUUAAUUAUAAAUUUUUUGUUGGUUAGUUUUGCCAAUUCCCCUAUAAAAUAGAAUUAAUAGAAAACCAGCUGAGAACAUGAAUGAAAAAAA
rnacentral:sRNA from 1 species